rnacentral:misc_RNA from 1 species
GAUGAAGAACGUAGCGAAAUGCGAUAAUUAAUGUGAAUUGCAGAAUUCCGUGAAUCAUCGAGUCUUUGAACGCACAUUGCGCCUCAUGGCAUUCCGUGAGGCAUGCCCAUCUCAGCGUUAGAAAAUAUUCUCAAAUUUUAGUUUUGUGCUAAAAUUUGGAUCAUGUCAAGGAAGCUAUUACUAUUAUUGUGAUCGCUCUUUGGAAAUUGAUAGGUCUUUGAGUUGCUACUCAUAGAACGUGAUGAAUCUUUCUUCGUUCUAUUGUAAUUCACUCUGGUAGUCCUAAAACUUGUAUGCCUGUGGCAUAUCAUGUAAUUUGACCUGAGAUUGGGUAGGGAUACCCGCUGAACUUAAGCAUAUCAAUAAGCGGAGGA